rnacentral:rRNA from 1 species
AUUGAACGCUGGCGGCAGGCCUAACACAUGCAAGUCGAACGAGUGGCGGACGGGUGGGUAAUGUCUGGGAAACUGCCCGAUGGCGGGGGAUAACUAAUGUAAACGGUAGCUAAUACCGCAUACCCUCGGAUGUGCCCAGAUUGGAUUAGCUAGUAGGUAGGGUAACGGCUCACCUAGACGACGAUCCCUAGCUGGUCUGAGAGGAUGACCAGCCACACUGGAACUGGUACACGGUCCAGACGCCGACGGGAGGCAGCAGGGGGGAAUAUUGCACAAUGGGCGAAAGCCUGAUUCAGCCAUGCCGCGGGUAUGAAGAAGGCCUUCUGGUUGUAAAGUACUUUCAGCGGGGAGGCGUUACCCGCAGAAUAAGCACCGGCUAACUCCGUGCCAGCAGCCGCGGUAAUAC